UUGGAGGGCAAGUCUGGUGCCAGCAGCCGCGGUAAUUCCAGCUCCAAUAGCGUAUAUUAAAGUUGUUGCAGUUAAAAAGCUCGUAGUUGAAUUUCGAGACCGGUUUACUGGUCGUGCUUUUGUACGUACUGGUAUUAUUGGUUUCUCCUUUCUGACGAAUCAUAAUGCCAUUAAUUUGGUGUUUUGGGGAAUCAGGACUGUUACUUUGAAAAAAUUAGAGUGUUUAAAGCAGGCUCACGCUUGAAUACAUUAGCAUGGAAUAACGAAAUAGGACGUUUGAUUUUAUUUUGUUGGUUUCUAGGAUCGACGUAAUGAUUAAUAGGGAUAGUUGGGGGCAUUAGUAUUCAAUUGUCAGAGGUGAAAUUCUUGGAUUUAUUGAAGACUAACUACUGCGAAAGCAUUUGCCAAGGAUGUUUUCAUUAAUCAAGAACGAAAGUUAGGGGAUCGAAGACGAUCAGAUACCGUCGUAGUCUUAACCAUAAACUAUGCCGACUAGGGAUCGGAUGAUGUUAAUUUUUUAAUGGCUCAUUCGGCGCCUUACGGGAAAC
rnacentral:rRNA from 1 species